GUUAUGUAUAUGUAUGANGUUAUGAUGCGAGUUACUCUNUGUAGUAUUGCUUGCACGUACUUGUAUGUUUAUUUGCAAAAUGUUGUCGGCGUGCACUUCUCCCCUAGUAGAACGUCGCGACCCGUUGGGUGUUGGUCUAC
rnacentral:rRNA from 1 species